AUGGCGAGUGGCGAACGGGUGAGUAAUAUAUCGGAACGUGCCCUAGAUGGGGGAUAACUAGUUGAAAGACUAGCUAAUACCGCAUACGAUCUAAGGAUGAAAGUGGGGGAUCGCAAGACCUCAUGCUCAUGGAGCGGCCGAUAUCUGAUUAGCUAGUUGGUGAGGUAAAAGCUCACCAAGGCGACGAUCAGUAGCUGGUCUGAGAGGACGAUCAGCCACAUUGGGACUGAGACACGGCCCAA
rnacentral:rRNA from 1 species